rnacentral:rRNA from 1 species
GACGAACGCGGCGGCGUGCCUAAUACAUGCAAGUAGAACGCACAGGAUGCAUCGUAGUUUACUACACCGUAUUCUGUGAGUUGCGAACGGGUGAGUAACGCGUAGGUAACCUGCCUGGUAGCGGGGGAUAACUAUUGGAAACGAUAGCUAAUACCGCAUAAGAACAUUUACUGCAUGGUAGAUGUUUAAAAGGUGCAAAUGCAUCACUACCAGAUGGACCUGCGUUGUAUUAGCUAGUAGGUGAGGUAACGGCUCACCUAGGCGACGAUACAUAGCCGACCUGAGAGGGUGAUCGGCCACACUGGGACUGAGACACGGCCAGACUCCUACGGGAGGCAGCAGUAGGGAAUCUUCGGCAAUGGGGGGAACCCUGACCGAGCAACGCCGCGUGAGUGAAGAAGGUUUUCGGAUCGUAAAGCUCUGUUGUUAAGGAAGAACGAGUGUGAGAAUGGAAAGUUCAUACUGUGACGUACUUAACCAGAAAGGACG